GACAAACGCUGGCGGCGUGCCUAAUACAUGCAAGUCGAACGGGGAAAGUCCUUCGGGACAAGUACUAGUGGCGCACGGGUGAGUAACACGUGGAUAAUCUGCCUUCUGAUGGGGAAUAACUAGCCGAAAGGUUAGCUAAUACCGCAUAAGACCACAGUGUCUUCGGACACAGGGGUUAAAGAUUUAUCGUCAGAAGAUGGGUCCGCGUCCGAUUAGCUAGUUGGUAGGGUAACGGCCUACCAAGGCGAUGAUCGGUAGCUGGUCUGAGAGGAUGAUCAGCCACACUGGAACUGAGACACGGUCCAGGAUCCUACGGGAGGCAGCAGUAGGGAAUAUUGCACAAUGGAGGAAACUCUGAUGCAGCGACGCCGCGUGAGUGAUGAAGGCCUUCGGGUUGUAAAGCUCUGUUCUACGGGAAGAAAAAAAUGACGGUACCGUAGAAGAAAGGACCGGCUAACUUCGUGCCAGCCGCCGCAGUAACAC
rnacentral:rRNA from 1 species